rnacentral:rRNA from 1 species
GACGAACGCUGGCGGCGUGCCUAAUACAUGCAAGUAGAACGCACAGUUUAUACCGUAGCUUGCUACACCAUAGACUGUGAGUUGCGAACGGGUGAGUAACGCGUAGGUAACCUGCCUGGUAGCGGGGGAUAACUAUUGGAAACGAUAGCUAAUACCGCAUAAUAUUAAUUAUUGCAUGAUAAUUAAUUGAAAGGUGCAAUUGCACCACUACCAGAUGGACCUGCGUUGUAUUAGCUAGUAGGUGAGGUAACGGCUCACCUAGGCGACGAUACAUAGCCGACCUGAGAGGGUGAUCGGCCACACUGGGACUGAGACACGGCCCAGACUCCUACGGGAGGCAGCAGUAGGGAAUCUUCGGCAAUGGACGAAAGUCUGACCGAGCAACGCCGCGUGAGUAAAGAAGGUUUUCGGAUCGUAAAGCUCUGUUGUAAGAGAAGAACGGGUGUGAGAGUGGAAAGUUCACACUGUGACGGUAUCUUACCAGAAAGGGACGGCUAACUACGUG